GGUAGCUCCGAGCGUCGCCUGGUGACGCCAGUCGCCUCUGGCUCCCCUCGUCAGACACAACAAACAGCCUGGCCGGGUAGCGGAGCUGAGGCUUGAGUCCAAGAUCAUACAACUCCUUCAUAACUCCGCGACAGAAGAAAGGAGGCAAGGAGGCUUGGUGGUGGAAUAAGGAAGAACAGGAAAGUAUUUAAAGGAAGUUGUCGCAGUUGGUCCAGAUGACAUAUCUAUGGAGGUAUGGUGAUGUUGAGGAGAGAGGACAGUGGACUUUUUGACCACAGUCUUGGAGGAUACCUGAGGAAUGAAGAAGAAGAGCAGUUGUAUUGAUUUUCAAGACCAAGGGUGAUGUGCAGAGCUGUAAUGAGCACAGAGGGAUAAUGAGCUAUACCAUGAAGCUCCAAUGUCACUGCAGACGCAUCUUCGGCAGCGAGACCGGCCAGAAGUCAUGCAGCUCAGGAAGACCAAACUUUGACUGACUGAAAAAAGCUUGAUUUAAAAAAGAAGAAGAAGAAGAAGAAAAGAACAACUUAGCACAGUCUAUUAGUUAGCAAGAACAUAUUAAUAUAUAAUUUAUAAAAUAACAAAUAUAUCAGAAAAUAAGUCACCACCACAAGACAUUAAGAGCAGUGUAGUAAGUGCACAGACUUGGCUGGACCACACAGGGCUUGGUGGAAGGAGAAGUAAAAGUGUGAGUCUUUGGUGAUUCAGUCGCUCAUCUACCCUGUUCCUAACCCUCUCCCCCUGCCUCCUCUUUGGAUCAUGUAUUCCCUGCUCACUGUAUCUGUCAACUCUACAUCAGUGACUGCUUCUUUGUUCUUUUCUUUUCUUCUUCAUCUGCUUCCACCACUAUUCUCCCUCGACCCUGCCUCAUCCCGUUCCACCUCACUUGAAGCCUAAUCUCAUGAACUGAAAUCUAAGCUCUAACAUAGGAAAAUGAGCAUAAACAUGAAUAAAUUCUUUAGUCUUAAUAUUCUUGUUUUUAUUUCUUUUUUUUUCUUUAAUGAAGUUAAAGGUACAGUUGUUGUUCAGUUACAACAUGUUAGUUUCACUGUAGUGCAGCAUAUACACUUUAGCUAUUGGCAGGGGCUCACGCUCAAAGUAGCUAUUGUUUUUACUUGAAUCCUUAAAUCUCUCCCUCCAUCUAUUCUCUUAUGAUGUUAAUUACACCUUCCUGCUUCUCUUCCUCACUCUGUUGUUAGGACUGUUGCCCCUCCUGCCUUUUCUAUGCCUCCUGCUAGCAACAACAGCAGCUCCUUUUGACUGUGAAUGCUCAUUAUUAGUUGUUGCUAUUUGUUGCUACUAUUAUUGGUGAUGCUGCAGCAGCAGCCCCGACAGCUGGCAUUAAUUAAUAUUUCCAUUACAUUUUGCUGCAUCCAUGUCAAGUCCUUUUUCUUAGUUUUUCAGCUCCAAUGUUUCACUUUUUUUGCCCAUCUUUAUCACCCACUUCUUCCACACUAAACUCUGUUAAAUUCCGUGUUUCUGAGUUUGCUUAUAUUUCCAGUUCAUGUUUUCUUGUCCGUUAGGUUGCUCUUGUGCCCUGUGUCACUUGUGAAAGUCUGUUGUGUUAUCUGUGUGUCCCUCACUCUCCAUGUCUUAGUCAUGUCUCUAUGUUUCUUUCCCUUACCUGUUCCCCUGUUCCUCUGCUUUGUCUCCCUGUUUGUUUAUCCCCAUUGCUGUGCUGUUUCCUGUUUUAUUUUGACAGCCACUCUUUCUGUGUUUAGUGUGUUCAGUUUUGCUCCCCUGUCUCUUUAUGUAUAAUUCGUUACGGCUGUGUUUCUGCUGUGUUCCCACUUCCCUCGUUACCCUCACGUGUGUGUAUGGUGUCUGUUUUCCUUGUGUCCCUUGUCGGGUCUUCUGCUUUCCUCGUUUCAUGUUCCGAAUUUCCCGUUCCGUGGUUCAUUCUCAGUAUUUACUGUUUAGUUUUAGUUCGACCAGUUUAGUUUUAUUAGUUAAGUCCCCGUUCCUGUUUUCCUUCCUGUUUUUAUUUUCGUUCAGCCUUUAAUAAAUGGCUCGCCUUCUGUUAAAACCACUCAUGCCUUCAAGUGGAGUCCAUAUUUGGGUCCUCAUCCUCUCUCCUCACAAUCUGCCAUUGCAGAUUGUUACAGUAUGUUUGUCCUCCAGAUCAUCUUUCCCCGUGGGCAGUGGCUGAUCAGGUCUCAUGAGGGAGAAAAAGAGGCAUGCCGGCAAAGGGUAUACAGUUUGGUACGUUCCUGGUCCCAGUAUGCUGGGCUAUUGCCAACCUGACUAAAGAACUUUUCCACCAGUCUCCACCCACCAUCCCUGCAAAAGGAAGAUCACACCGCCAGCUCCCCAGAUUCGACAUCGCCACUCAGCUCACCCACCUCG